UGGAUCUUCAGUUUAGAUCAGUCUGAUUUUGAUUAUCGUUCUGUUUUUUCCUUUUGUUUUCAAAAUAAAAAGAAAAUUGAAGAAGUGCGACUCCAUUUACUCCUAAGUAUUUAAUAUUUUAUGGAUAGAAACCAAGUGUUGUCAGCCAACCAGUUAUCGCAUUACAAUAUAGUUCAAGUUCAACGCUUCUUUGCUCACUAAAGCAUUAUCUAAAACUCUAGCUGGCUUGCUCUUUCUGUGUGAGAUUGUUAUUCAAUCAUGCAUCUUCUUCUUGUUCUUUUCCCUCUGGCUAUCUUCCUCUUCAAAUUUGCCUACUCAACCCUAUGGGUCCCAUGGAGGACGCAAACCCACUUCAGACAGCAAGGCAUAAGGGGCCCCGGCUACCGUCCGAUCUUCGGAAACUCCGUCGAGAUCCGCCGUCUGUUCGCCGAAGCUCUCUCAAAGCGAGUCCCAUUCGACCACGACAUCGCUCCACGCGCGAUUCCAUUCUACCACAGGUGGUCCAGCAUGUACGGGAAGACUUUCCUCUACUGGUUCGGGCCCAAUCCCAGGCUGGCAAUAUCCGACCCGGAUUUGAUCAAAGAAGUCCUUGUCAAUUCCAGUGGGUCGUUUCAAAAGAUACCCUUUACCCCUUUAACCAAAAACCUCUUCGGAGAAGGACUCGUUGGGCUCGAAGGCGAUGAUUGGGCCUUUCAUAGAAGGAUCGUCAACCAGGCCUUCAAAAUGGAGCGGGUCAAGGGUUGGGUGCCUGAAAUUGUGGGGAGUGCCAUGAAGGUGUUGGAGAAGUGGGAGGGUAUAAGAGGAGAGAAAGAUGAGUUUGAGAUGGAUGUGCACAAGGAAUUUCAUGAUCUUUCUGCUGAUGUUAUAUCGAGAACAGCUUUUGGAAGCAGUUUUGAGGAGGGAAAGCGAAUUUUCAACUUGCAAGAACAACAAAUGCAUCUUUUCUCGAAGGCGGUUAGGAGCAUCUACAUUCCUGGAUUCAGGUUUUUACCCACCAAGAAUAACAGAGAAAGGUGGAGACUACAAAAGGAAACUAGUGAAUCAAUACGGAUGUUGAUCUUGAAUAGUCCCAAAACAAGAGAAGAUUCGACAAAUCUACUCAGUCUGUUAAUGUCUUCUUACAAGAACCAGAGUGGUGAAGAAGAAAAAUUAGGGUUAGAGGAUAUAAUAGCUGAAUGCAAGACCUUCUACCUUGCAGGAAGUGAAACAACUGCUUCUCUUUUGACUUGGGCACUUCUCCUUCUAGCCCGCCAUCAGGAUUGGCAAAGCAAGGCUAGGGAAGAAGUGAUUCGCACUAGUGGAGACAAUAAGCUUCCUACUGCAGAGAAUUUGAAUGAUCUUAAGAUUGUGAGCCUGAUAGUUAACGAAACACUUAGACUCUACCCUCCAGCUGUGAUGCUAAUGAGGCAAACAUCAAAGAAGGUUAAGCUUGGGGACCUUGACAUUCCUGCUCACACACAACUCUACUUGGCCUUGACCGCUGUCCAUCACGACACUGAGAUAUGGGGAGAAGAUGCUAAUGAGUUCAAUCCCUCGAGGUUUUCAGAGCCUCGAAAGCAUUUAGCCUCAUUCUUUCCAUUUGGUCUGGGGCCUAGAAUCUGCGCAGGUCAAAACUUGGCUCUGGUUGAAGCAAAACUGGUCUUGGCAACCAUCAUCCGCCACUAUUCUUUUGUGGUGUCUCCAACCUAUGUCCAUGCACCAAUGUUGUUUAUUAGUUUACAGCCUCAAUAUGGUGCUCAAAUCCUCUUUAGGAAGAUUCCAAGCUGAAAACUUAAAGCAUCUUACUUCCAGAUUUUAGCUUCAAAACACUGAUUCCUACUGUCGUUUACCAUCUCAAGUCUGUAAUCGCCGUGUUUACCAACAAAGUUUUGAUUGCUUAAGGUGACAAAUUUAUAGACUGGGACCAGCUCACCAACUUAACUCUAGUAAGUCAAAGCCAUACUUAAUGGAAUGCGGGUGACAUCAGACACUGAGAUAUGGGGAGAAGAUGUUCAAGGCGGAGCCUCAAAAGCAUCUCAAUUGCCUCAUUCUCCGCAUUUGGUUUAGGGGUACAAUCUGUGCAGAUCAAAAUUUAGCUCUAUAUUUGAACUAGCACUAGUCUUAGCUCUUAGCAAUCAUCGUCCGCCACUAUUCUUUAUGGUGUGUGUAAGUUUACAGCCACAAAACGGGGCUCGGAUCCUCUUUAGCAAGAUUCCAAACCGAAAACUUCAUGCAUCUUCCUUCUACAUUCAAGCCUCGCGCCCUCACUUAUUGACAAUGACGUUCUAGCUCUCGUUUUGCCCCAGAGGAAACAAAGGGAAAGUUUUGUCUGUUUCAAAAUUGCAGGCUCUCAACUUAUGGAUACCCGAUGCCUUCUGCUUUGUAGCAACCUCUUGGAUUUUUGCGCGCAGGGUGGCUUUAAACCUAUAAUUAUAGGUUGGCUUGAGCUCCUAACAUGCUUGCUCACUCUCUUCGUCAUUAACAUAUAUUUACUUUACGUUUUCCUAGUCCAAACCAUUCAUGUAAUAUCUAAAAUAUGAUUGA